rnacentral:rRNA from 1 species
CAAUAGCGUAUAUUAAAGUUGUUGCAGUUAGAACGCUCGUAGUCGGAUUUCGGGGCGGGCCGACCGGUCUGCCGAUGGGUAUGCACUGGUCGGCGCGUCCUUCCUUCCGGAGACCGUGCCUACUCUUAACUGAGCGGGGCGGGAGACGGAUCGUUUACUUUGUAAAAAUACAGAGUGUUUCUAAGACAGGCAGCUCGCUCUUGCAUGGAUUAGCAUGGGAGUAAUAGAAAUAAGGACUUUGGUUGCUAUUUUGUUGGUUUCGUAACACCGAAGUAAUGAUUAAAAGGGAACAGUCAGGGGCGACUCGUAUUCCGCCGAGAGAGGUGAAAUUCUCAGACCAGCGGAAGACGAACCACUGCGAAAGCAUUUGCCAGGGAUGUUUUCACUGAUCAAGAACGAAAGUUAGGGGAUCGAAGACGAUCAGAUACCGU